rnacentral:rRNA from 1 species
UACGUAGGGGGCAAGCGUUGUCCGGAAUCAUUGGGCGUAAAGAGCGUGUAGGCGGCUCGGUAAGUCCGCUCUGAAAGCCCGGGGCUCAACCCCGGGAGGCGGGCGGAUACUGUCGGGCUAGAGUCCGGAAGAGGCGAGUGGAAUUCCUGGUGUAGCGGUGGAAUGCGUAGAGAUCCGGAGGAAUACCGACGGCGUAAGCAGCGCCCUAAACGAGUACUGACGCUCAGGCACGAAAGCUGGGGGAGCAAACAGG